CUCUCGUGCCAAUAAUUCACUUUUACGUCGCCGAUUCCAAGAUCAUUAGGCGGUGAGCAUUCUGAGAGAGCAUUCUAGUCGUGGAGACCCUCUUUUCGUCUCCGAUUUUUCUGUAUUCACUUACACGCAAAUUAUAACGGGAAGCGGAAAAAAGCGAUUCAGAGAGAGACAAACGAGAAUGUUAUAGAUCGACUCUCUGUUGAGAGGGUUCCCGACUAAAUCCUAUUACCUGUUAAGAACAUGAUUAGAAGGCGUUGUGAGAUGGUGGAAAUCGAUAAAAUAAUUUAUUGUCUGGUG
ensembl:ncRNA B0001.10 ncRNA